UGUUGUGCAGACUCAGGCAGCUCACUCGGGGCUGGGCAGCAGACAGUGAUUAUCAUCACCCCCUGCUUUCAUCCAUUACAGCGGGUGUUAGCAGCAUGUAGAUUCAUAUUUGCUACAAGGCUUGAGUGACUCUCAGAGACCACACAUCCUAUCUCAUGGAUGAAUGACUUGAGUCCCAGAGAGGAUUUGCCCUGCCCAGAGUCACACAGCUAGCCAGGAGAGGAAUUAGCACCCAGAAGAUGUGGGAUUUGAGACCCAAAGAAGUGAAGUAACCUGCCCAAGUUUACACAGCUUGGAGUAGUACCCGAGUUUCUAUGGACUCCAGAGCUCAUGAGUUCACCACUUCACUCUGUGCCUCCUAACUCUGAGCUUGGAUGAGAGUGCUCAGUGGCCAGGCUUGGACAAGGAAGGAAGUUCUGUCCUCAUUCCACUUCAUCUUGGGCAAUCAUCUUGCAGCAAGGAAGGGCAAUGAGCAAUGAGGCUCAGUUCCCAAAAGCCUGAUUUC